AUUGAACGCUGGCGGAAUGCUUUACACAUGCAAGUCGAACGGCAGCACGAACUUCGGUCUGGUGGCGAGUGGCGAACGGGUGAGUAAUGUAUCGGAACGUGCCCAGUCGUGGGGGAUAACGUAGUGAAAAUUACGCUAAUACCGCAUACGAUCUAUGGAUGAAAGCGGGGGAUCGCAAGACCUCGCGCGAUUGGAGCGGCCGAUAUCAGAUUAGGUAGUUGGUGGGGUAAAGGCCAACCAAGCAAACGAUCUGUAGCUGGUCUGAGAGGAAGACCAGCCACACUGGAACUGAGACACGGUCCAGACUACUACGGGAGGCAGCAGUGGGGAAUUUUGGACAAUGGGCGAAAGCCUGAUCCAGCCAUUCCGCGUGCAGGAUGAAGGCCCUCGGGUUGUAAACUGCUUUUGUACAGAACGAAAAGGUUUCUACUAAUACUAGGAGCUCAUGACGGUACUGUAAGAAUAAGCACCGGCUAACUACGUGCCAGCCGCCGCGGUAA
rnacentral:rRNA from 1 species